rnacentral:rRNA from 1 species
AGUGAACGCUGGCGGUAGGCCUAACACAUGCAAGUCGAACGGCAGCACAGUAAGAGCUUGCUCUUACGGGUGGCGAGUGGCGGACGGGUGAGGAAUACAUCGGAAUCUACUUUUUCGUGGGGGAUAACGUAGGGAAACUUACGCUAAUACCGCAUACGACCUACGGGUGAAAGCAGUGGAUCUUCGGACCUUGCGCGAUUGAAUGAGCCGAUGUCGGAUUAGCUAGUUGGCGGGGUAAAGGCCCACCAAGGCGACGAUCCGUAGCUGGUCUGAGAGGAUGAUCAGCCACACUGGAACUGAGACACGGUGCAGACUCCUACGGGAGGCAGCAGUGGGGAAUAUUGGACAAUGGGCGCAAGCCUGAUCCAGCCAUACCGCGUGGGUGAAGAAGGCCUUCGGGUUGUAAAGCCCUUUUGUUGGGAAAGAAAAGCAGCAGGUUAAUACCCCGCUGUUCUGACGGUACCCAAAGAAUAAGCACCGGCUAACUUCGUG